rnacentral:rRNA from 1 species
AGAAUCCGGUUGAUCCUGCCGGACCUGACUGCUAUCGGAUUGAUACUAAGCCAUGCGAGUCAUUGUAGCAAUACAAGGCAGACGGCUCAGUAACGCGUAGUCAAUCUACCCUAUGGACGGGAAUAACCUCGGGAAACUGAGAAUAAUGCCCGAUAGAACAUUAUACCUGGAACGGUUUAUGUUUCAAAUGAUUUAUCGCCGUAGGAUGGGACUGCGGCCUAUCAGUUUGUUGGUGAGGUAAUGGCCCACCAAGACUAUUACAGGUACGGGCUCUGAGAGGAGUAGCCCGGAGAUGGGUACUGAGACACGGACCCAGGCCCUAUGGGGCGCAGCAGGCGAGAAAACUUUGCAAUGUGCGAAAGCACGACAAGGUUAAUCCGAGUGGUUUCUGCUAAAGAAACCUUUUGCUAGUCCUAGAAACACUAGUGAAUAAGGGGUGGGCAAGUUCUGGUGUCAGCCGCCGCGGUAAAACCAGCACCUCAAGUGGUCAGGAUGAUUAUUGGGCCUAAAGCAUCCGUAGCCCGUUUUGUAAGUUUUCGGUUAAAUCCAUACGCUUAAC